rnacentral:tRNA from 1 species
GGGCCAGUGGUGAAAUGGUAUCACACCUCUUUGGCGUAGAGGAGGCUCCGGGUUCGAAUCCCGGCUGGUCCA